rnacentral:lncRNA from 1 species
UUAAGCACUUAUCACACCCCCAAACCUAUAUUUUGCUAGUCCUCGAGCAAAAUAAAAUUAGAAAAAAAAACUCUAACUCACUUUCGCAGGCAUCGCGAUUGCAUUUACCAUAUGCAACAAGGCUUUAAACCCCUAGGUUACCCUAGUGGACGAGUUAUAGUCUCGUGAGAGUUUUCAGUGAAGAUACCCACAAACUUCAAU